GGAUCACCGAAGCGUAAGCAGAAAAACACGUUUGGACGUCACUUCCGGCCGGGUUCGGGUUGUAUCUUUCACGCGAAAGAAUGAGGCGCCUUCUUUUCGCAACAUCCACCGUUGGAUCGCGCAUGGCCGAUGAAAGAGGAGGGCAGACUGCUUUGCGAUCUGUACAAUACGCGAUCUAACGGUUGUCGUGGCUAAAGAAGAUCAAUCAAUAUUUC
rnacentral:lncRNA from 1 species